GACGAACGCUGGCGGCGUGCUUAACACAUGCAAGUCGAGCGAGGCCCCUCCUUCGGGAGGGUGUCCUAGCGGCGAACGGGUGAGUAACACGUGGGCAACCUGCCCUCAGCUCUGGGAUAACUCCGGGAAACCGGGGCUAAUACCGGAUACGACCUCCACGGCAAUCUGCGGAGGGGGAAGGUUUUCGGCUGAGGAUGGGCCCGCGGCCUAUCAGCUAGUUGGUGGGGUAGUGGCCCACCAAGGCGACGACGGGUAGCCGGCCUGAGAGGGCGACCGGCCACACUGGGACUGAGACACGGCCCAGACUCCUACGGGAGGCAGCAGUGGGGAAUAUUGCGCAAUGGGCGAAAGCCUGACGCAGCGACGCCGCGUGAGGGACGAAGGCCUUCGGGUUGUAAACCUCUUUCAGCAGGGACGAAGCGAAAGUGACGGUACCUGCAGAAGAAGCACCGGCCAACUACGUG
rnacentral:rRNA from 1 species